rnacentral:rRNA from 1 species
UACAGAGGUCUCAAGCGUUGUUCGGAUUCAUUGGGCGUAAAGGGGUGCGUAGGCGGCGCGGUAAGUCGGGUGUGAAAAUCUUGGGACUUAACUCCGAAACUGCAUUCGAUACUGCCGUGCUUGAGGACUGGAGAGGAGACUGGAAUUUACGGUGUAGCGGUGAAAAUGCGUAGAUAGUCGUAAGGAAGACCAGUGGCGAAGGCGG